UACGGGGGGGGGCAAGCGUUGUUCGGAAUUACUGGGCGUAAAGGGCGCGUAGGCGGCCUGCUAAGUCGGACGUGAAAUCCCUCGGCUCAACCGAGGAACUGCGUCCGAUACUGGUGGGCUUGAAUCCGGGAGAGGGAUGUGGAAUUCCAGGUGUAGCGGUGAAAUGCGUAGAUAUCAGGAGGAACACCGGUGGCGAAGGCGGGUCUCUGGGCCGACAUUGACGCUGGAGGAGCGAAAGCGUGGGGAGCGAACAGG
rnacentral:rRNA from 1 species